rnacentral:tmRNA from 1 species
GGGGUUGACUGGAUUUGACAGCGAGAUGAAGAGGUAUGUAAGCAUGCAGUGCGUCAGUGAUUAGCACUUUAAUCCCAGUUACUAACAAUUAUCUGGCAACACUAAUUAUGCUCUCGCAGCGUGAUUGAAGUAUAGUAGAUCACCUUUAUUCCUGUCAUAGUGGCGGGAACGGGAUGUCGCUCAAAAGCUCUUGUUCCGAAGCGGUUGAUAAAGCGGCACAGCAAAAUCGGGAAUAGUCAUGAGUUUUCUCCGCACUCUUGAUGAACUUUUAGGAGAUAAGGCAUGAGUAGGUGGCUUUGGUCUUGCUUGUGCACGAAAACCGAAGGCAAAGAUAAGCAUGUAGAAAGCAUAUGGCUUCCUUGUUUGGACGAGGGUUCGACUCCCUCCAGCUCCACU